rnacentral:siRNA from 1 species
AGCCGCUGUUAAUUUUGGCGACAU